CAUGCAAGUCGAACGAUGAAAGCAGGAGCUUGCUUUUGCUGGAUUAGUGGCGAACGGGUGAGUAACACGUGAGUAACCUGCCCUUGACUCUGGGAUAAGCGUUGGAAACGACGUCUAAUACCGGAUACGAGCUAGGACCGCAUGGUCACUAGUUGGAAAGAAUUUCGGUCAAGGAUGGACUCGCGGCCUAUCAGCUAGUUGGUGAGGUAACGGCCCACCAAGGCGACGACGGGUAGCCGGCCUGAGAGGGUGACCGGCCACACUGGGACUGAGACACGGCCCAGACUCCUACGGGAGGCAGCAGUGGGGAAUAUUGCACAAUGGGCGCAAGCCUGAUGCAGCAACGCCGCGUGAGGGACGACGGCCUUCGGGUUGUAAACCCCUUUUAGCAGGGAAGAAGCGACAGUGACGGUACCUGCAGAAAAAGCACCGGCUAACUACGUGCCAGCAGCCGCGGUAAUACGUAGGGUGCAAGCGUUGUCCGGAAUUAUUGGGCGUAAAGAGCUCGUAGGCGGUUUGUCGCGUCUGCUGUGAAAAUCCGAGGCUCAACCUCGGACCUGCAGUGGGUACGGGCAAACUAGAGUGCGGUAGGGGAGAUUGGAAUUCCUGGUGUAGCGGUGGAAUGCGCAGAUAUCAGGAGGAACACCAAUGGCGAAGGCAGAUCUCUGGGCCGUAACUGACGCUGAGGAGCGAAAGCGUGGGGAGCGAACAGGAUUAGAUACCCUGGUAGUCCACGCCGUAAACGGUGGGAACUAGAUGUGGGGUCCGUUCCACGGAUCCCGUGUCGCAGCUAACGCAUUAAGUUCCCCGCUGGGGAGUACGCCGCAAGGCUAAAACUCAAAGGAUUGACGGGGGCCCGCACAGGCGGCGGAGCAUGCGAUUAAUC
rnacentral:rRNA from 1 species